rnacentral:rRNA from 1 species
AUUGAACGCUGGCGGCAGGCCUAACACAUGCAAGUCGAGCGGAUGAAGGGAGCUUGCUCCUGGAUUCAGCGUCGGACGGGUGAGUAAUGCCUAGGAAUCUGCCUGGUAGUGGGGGAUAACGUCCGGAAACGGGCGCUAAUACCGCAUACGUCCUGAGGUAGAAAGUUGGGGAUCUUCGGACCUCACGCUAUCAGAUGAGCCUAGGUCGGAUUUGCUAGUUGGUUGGGUAAAUGCCUACCAAGGCGACGAUCCGUAACUGGUCUGAGAGGAUGAUCAGUCACACUGGAACUGAGACACGGUCCAGACUCCUACGGGAGGCAGCAGUGGGGAAUAUUGGACAAUGGGCGAAAGCCUGAUCCAGCCAUGCCGCGUGUGUGAAGAAGGUCUUCGGAUUGUAAAGCACUUUAAGUUGGGAGGAAGGGCAGUAAGUUAAUACCUUGCUGUUUUGACGUUACCAACAGAAUAAGCACCGGCUAACUUCGUG